UACGUAGGGUGCGAGCGUUUGUCCGGAAUUAUUGGGCGUAAAGAGCUCGUAGGCGGUGUGUCGCGUCGGCCGUGAAAACCUGGGGCUUAACUCUGGGCGUGCGGUCGAUACGGGCAUCACUAGAGUUCGGCAGGGGAGACUGGAAUUCCUGGUGUAGCGGUGAAAUGACGCAGAUAUCAGGAGGAACACCGGUGGGCGAAGGCGGGUCUCCUGGGCCGAAUAC
rnacentral:rRNA from 1 species